AACGCACAUUGCGCCCUUUGGUAUUCCGAAGGGCAUGCCUGUUCGAGCGUCAUUAUCACCCCUCAAGCCCCUGGCUUGGUGUUGGACGGUUUGGUGGAGGCCCCUUCGGGGGCUCCUGCCCCUCCCAAAGACAAUGACGGCGGCCUCGUUGGACCCCCGGUACACUGAGUUCUUCACGGGACACGUAUCGGACACAUGGGUUUACGGGACACGGUCUGCCUCCCCUCAGGGAGAAUCUUUCUAAGGUUGACCUCGGAUCAGGUAGGGAUACCCGCUGAACUUAA
rnacentral:misc_RNA from 1 species